CCAUUUUUUUUUUUGGAGUCCGGGCUCGUUUUUUUGGGCGGUUUUGGUGCUGAUCCGCCGUGUUUUGGCGCAGGUUCUCCACCAGCUUCGCCUAUUACGGGCUGGCCAUGGACCUGCAGGGCUUCGGGUUCAACGUGUACCUGAGCCAGGUGGUGUUCGGCGCCGUGGACAUCCCGGCCAAGCUCCUCUCCGUGCUCGUCAUCUCCGGGCUCGGGCGGCGCCUGGCGCAGGGCGGGGCCCUGGCGCUCGCCGGGCUCUGCAUCCUCGCCAACAUCUUCGUGCCCGGCGAGCUGCCGGCGCUCCGCAUGGCUUUCGCCGUCGUCGGCAAAGGCGCCUUGGCCGCCUCCUUCAACUGCGCCUACAUCUUCACCGGGGAGCUCUUCCCCACCGUCAUCAGGUGGGUGUGGCCAGCACAGCCCCGCCCAUCCAGCCCCGCCCAGUCAUCCUCCAAUCACUGCCCAUGUGCCAACCCAGCCUGCAUUAACCCAACCCUUCAUUAACCCAGCCCCUCAUUAACCCAACUCUCAUUAACCCAACUCUCAUCAAUCCAUCCUCCAUCAACCCAACCUCAACUCAACCAUCCAUGCACCAACCUCCAUCAACCCAAUCUCAUUAACACAACCCUUCAUUAGCCCAGCCCCUCAUUAACCCAACUCUCAUUAACCCAACCUCAACUCGACCAUCCAUGCACCAACCUCCAUCAACCCAACCUCCAUUGACCCAACUCUCAUCAACUCAACCUUCCAUUGACCCAACUCUCAUCAACCCAACCUCCAUCAACCCAACCCGUCAUCAACGCAAUCUCUCAUUAACCCAACUCUCAUUAACCCAGCCCCUCAUUAACCCAACUCUCAUUAACCCAACUUCCAUUAACCUAACCUCAAACUCCACCAACCUCAACUCAACUUCAAUGCGCCAACUUCCAUCAACCAAACCUCCAUCAACUCAACCUGUUAACCCUUCUCAUUAACCCCUCUCAUUAACCCCUCUCGUUAACCCUUCUCAUUAACCCUUCUCAUUAACCCCUCUCGUUAACCCCUCUCAUUAACCCUUCUCAUUAACCCCUCUCAUUAACCCCUCUCGUUAACCCCUCUUGUUAAUCCCUCUCAUUAACCCCUCUUGUUAACCCCUC
rnacentral:lncRNA from 12 species